GAAGUAUUUGCAGCGUAUUGCUAGUGUAAUCCACGUGUGUGUGUCGGUCAUUAGCACCGUAUGUCAAAAAAGGGGUUACAAAAAUACAAAUGGAUUUUUGCUACCGUAACCGACGAGAAUGGAGGACUGCAAACCAAAAGCAAACAGAAAGUUUGAAUUGGACAUGAAGGGGUCAGAAACGAAGAACAUACACACAAAAGUAGGUCCUCUGCAAUUCCCCAACACAACACUAAACAACGAAGACACUGAAUCUAGAGCAGUACAAAUACAAGAGGAAGAUGUUACAUAUACCAGCAGUGAAAGGAGGAGUGUUGCCUGAGGUGAAACGGUGUACCCAAUGCUGCAGAUUGUACCACUGUCCAUUAUACCAGCCAAGCAAAUAUAAACCCAAUAAACGCCACCAUUUAAAAAAGCACUUGGAUGUACAUCUAAAGGGUGCAGUGCAGUGUGAUGGUUUGUUAUUUAAUGGUUUUUACAUGCAGCAUUGUUGAAGGUUGUUUAAUGUAUUUAAUGAACAAUAUGAAUUUCAAGUAAAAUAUUGUGCAUAAAGUCAUUAAUACUUAUUGUUUACAUCUGUUUAUUUAAAUGUUUAUAGAGAAUGCUCAGGAAUACUCACUUGCAAAUACAGUAGGCUCCAUAAUUAUUCAUACCCUUUAUUCAGUGUAAAUGAAAUGGGGGGAUUCAAUUAAAACUUGACCCACCAGCUAAUCGCAAAGUCAGAAUUUAAUGGUGGUUGUAUUUAUUAGUAGAAGAAAGUGUCCACUUAUGAUAAAUCAAACUGCUAUUAAGUACAUAUUUCUAAUUUGGCUUUAGUGGAUGGGUCUAAAUGUUGAUUUAAUCCCCCCAGAGUUGGUUUUAAAAUAUCAACAAAAAGCAAGUUUACAUUCAUUAUUUCUUGCUAUAUCAUAAAAAAAAAACAUAUCUGUCAAAAAUAACUGCAUUUUAAUUUUUAAUAUCCAAACUGCAUUAUAUAUUUGUAAUAAAGUUCUUUGUUUGCAAUUUUGAUCUCCUUGUUUGUUUUCAUAGUACUUUUGACAGGAAAGCAGGACUUCAAUCAAAACAGAUAAAUAAGUGCUUUUAAAUAAAAAUUAAAAAAAA